rnacentral:rRNA from 1 species
AGUGAACGCUGGCGGUAGGCCUAACACAUGCAAGUCGAACGGCAGCACAGUAAGAGCUUGCUCUUACGGGUGGCGAGUGGCGGACGGGUGAGGAAUACAUCGGAAUCUACUUUUUCGUGGGGGAUAACGUAGGGAAACUUACGCUAAUACCGCAUACGACCUACGGGUGAAAGCAGGGGAUCUUCGGACCUUGCGCGAUUGAAUGAGCCGAUGUCGGAUUAGCUAGUUGGCGGGGUAAAGGCCCACCAAGGCGACGAUCCGUAGCUGGUCUGAGAGGAUGAUCAGCCACACUGGAACUGAGACACGGUCCAUACUCCUACGGGAGGCAGCAGUGGGGAAUAUUGGACAAUGGGCGCAAGCCUGAUCCAGCCAUACCACGUGGGUGAAGAAGGCCUUCGGGUUGUAAAGCCCUUUUGUUGGGAAAGAAAAGCAGCAGGUUAAUACCCCGCUGUUCUGACGGUACCCAAAGAAUAAGCACCGGCUAACUUCGUG